rnacentral:rRNA from 1 species
CCCUUAGAUGGUCUGGGCGGCACGCGCGCUACAAUAAUGCAUUCAAAAAGUCUUCUGACCUUAGAAGGUUGGGUAUUCUCCAAAGUGCAUCGUGAUGGGAAUAGUUUAUUGCAAUUUUUAAUCUUGAACGAGGAAUUCCUAGUAAGUACAGGUCAUCAACUUGUGUUGAUUACGUCCCUGCCCUUUGUACACACCGCCCGUCGCUCCUACCGAUUGAGUGGUCCGGUGAGGCUUUGGGAUCUGAGCGGAAAGAGCGUUUCGCUGUUUCUGCUCGGAAAACUCAGUCGAACCUUAUCAUUUAGAGGAAGGAGAAGUCGUAACA